AGAGUUUGAUCCUGGCUCAGGAUGAACGCUAGCGGCAGGCUUAACACAUGCAAGUCGAGGGGCAGCGCGGGAUAGCAAUAUCCUGGCGGCGACCGGCGGAAGGGUGCGUAACGCGUGAGCGACAUGCCCGUUGCCCGGGGACAACCGGUGGAAACGCCGACUAAUCCCCGAUGGGAUACGAUGCUGCAUGGCAUUGUAUUGAAAGUUACGGCGGCGACGGAUUGGCUCGCGUCCGAUUAGCUGGUUGGCGGGGUGACGGCCCACCAAGGCUACGAUCGGUAGGGGUUCUGAGAGGAAGGCCCCCCACAAUGGGACUGAGACACGGCCCAUACUCCUACGGGAGGCAGCAGUGAGGAAUAUUGGUCAAUGGGCGGAAGCCUGAACCAGCCAUGCCGCGUGCGGGAAGGAGGCCCUAUGGGCUGUGAACCGCUUUUGCCUGGGGGCAAUAAGGGCGUCGCGCACGUCCGAUGAGAGUACCAGGCGAAUAAGCAUCGGCUAACUCCGUGCCAGCAGCCGCGGUAAUACGGGGGAUGCGAGCGUUAUCCGGAUUCAUUGGGUUUAAAGGGUGCGUAGGCUGUGCGUCAAGUCGGGGGUGAAAUUCCGGUGCUCAACACCGGGGCUGCCCUUGAUACUGUCGCGCUGGAGUGCGGAUGCCGCCGGAGGAAUGAGUGGUGUAGCGGUGAAAUGCUUAGAUAUCACUCAGAACACCGAUUGCGAAGGCAUCUGGCGAAUCCGUAACUGACGCUGAGGCACGAAAGCGUGGGGAUAGAACAGGAUUAGAUACCCUGGUAUUCCACGCCGUAAACGAUGAUGGCUAACCGCCGGCGACACACUGUCGGUGGCCAAGCGAAAGCGAUAAGCCAUCCACCUGGGGAGUACGUCGGCAACGAUGAAACUCAAAGGAAUUGACGGGGGCCCGCACAAGCGGAGGAACAUGUG
rnacentral:rRNA from 1 species